rnacentral:rRNA from 1 species
GACGAACGCUGGCGGCGUGCUUAACACAUGCAAGUCGAACGGAGUGGCGAACGGGUGAGUAACACGUGGGUGACCUGCCCUGCACUUCGGGAUAAGCCUGGGAAACUGGGUCUAAUACCGGAUAGUGUGGGACCGGCCCGCGGCCUAUCAGCUUGUUCGUGAGGUAAUGGCCUACCAAGGCGGCGACGGGUAGCCGGCCUGAGAGGGCGGACGGCCGCAUUGGGACUGAGGCACGGCCCAGACUCCUACGUGAGGCAGCUGUGGGGAAUAUUGCACAAUGGGCGGAAGCCUGCUGCAGCGACGCUGCGUGGGGGAUGACGGCCUUCGGGUUGUAAACUCCUUUCACCAUGGACGCGGUAGAUGGAGAAGAAGCACCGGCUAACUACGUGCCAGCAGCCGCGGUAAUUC